AGUGAACGCUGGCGGUAGGCCUAACACAUGCAAGUCGAACGGCAGCACAGCAAGAGCUUGCUCUUACGGGUGGCGAGUGGCGGACGGGUGAGGAAUACAUCGGAAUCUACUUUUUCGUGGGGGAUAACGUAGGGAAACUUACGCUAAUACCGCAUACGACCUACGGGUGAAAGCAGGGGAUCUUCGGACCUUGCGCGAUUGAAUGAGCCGAUGUCGGAUUAGCUAGUUGGCGGGGUAAAGGCCCACCAAGGCGACGAUCCGUAGCUGGUCUGAGAGGAUGAUCAGCCGCACUGGAACUGAGACACGGUCCAGACUCCUACGGGAGGCAGCAGUGGGGAAUAUUGGACAAUGGGCGCAAGCCUGAUCCAGCCAUACCGCGUGGGUGAAGAAGGCCUUCGGGUUGUAAAGCCCUUUUGUUGGGAAAGAAAAGCAGCAGGUUAAUACCCCGCCGUUCUGACGGUACCCAAAGAAUAAGCACCGGCUAACUUCGUG
rnacentral:rRNA from 1 species